rnacentral:rRNA from 1 species
CAGCCGUAAACUAUGCGCGUUAGGUGUAUCGGUGACCACGAGUUACCGAGGUGCCGAAGGGAAACCGUGAAACGUGCCGCCUGGGAAGUACGGUCGCAAGGCUGAAACUUAAAGGAAUUGGCGGGGGAGCACCACAACAGGUGGAGCCUGCGGGUUUAAUUGGACUCAACGCCGGGAAGCUCACCGGAUAGGACAGCAGAAUGAUUGCCGGGCUGAAGACUCUGCAUGACUAGCUGAGAGGAGGUGCAUGGCGUGUGACUGU